CAGCCGCCACGGGAAUACGUAGGUGGCAAGCGUUGUCCGGAUUUAUUGGGCGUAAAGCGAGCGCAGGCGGUUUCUUAAGUCUGAUGUGAAAGCCCCCGGCUCAACCGGGGAGGGUCAUUGGAAACUGGGAGACUUGAGUGCAGAAGAGGAGAGUGGAAUUCCAUGUGUAGCGGUGAAAUGCGUAGAUAUAUGGAGGAACACCAGUGGCGAAGGCGGCUCUCUGGUCUGUAACUGACGCUGAGGCUCGAAAGCGUGGGGAGCGAACAGGAUUAGAUACCCCCGUAGUCCCUGUCUCUUAUAC
rnacentral:rRNA from 1 species